rnacentral:rRNA from 1 species
UACGUAGGGUGCGAGCGUUAAUCGGAAUUACUGGGCGUAAAGCGUGCGCAGGCGGUUGUGUAAGACAGGUGUGAAAUCCCCGGGCUUAACCUGGGAACUGCGCUUGUGACUGCACGGCUAGAGUACGGCAGAGGGGGUGGAAUUCCACGUGUAGCAGUGAAAUGCGUAGAUAUGUGGAGGAAUACCAAUGGCGAAGGCAGCCCCCUGGGUUAACACUGACGCUCAUGCACGAAAGCGUGGGGAGCAAACAGGAUUAGAUACCCCAGUAGU